GGAGGCUGGCUCUGGGCAAUCUGCUACAGCCUCGUGUCCUACUGGUUUUAGGUCUUUGGAAAAUUCUUCUCUGAGGGGCAGAGAAGAUCCUUCCUCCAGACAGCAAUGCUGGCGAUCCACGACCCCCUGCUGCAUGUCAGCCAGGCUGGGCUGCUCCUCACAUACUCCAUCCUGGGGGAAGCCCAGAAGCUGCUGGGGGACAAGCUGGAGGAUGUCACAGCCAAGGUGAUGUGCCAGCUUCGCAUCAUCCGGCACUUGCACCAAGUGCCCGAGACGCUGCAAGGGCUGCGCCUCAUCUGAUGCCCUUAAAGGUUCCCUUCCAAUGUUCAGCAACUCCCGCUCCCUGCUGCAGCAAGAGGCUCCCCAGAGAUGUCCUCAAACCUGUUCUCCUGGGAGCCUUUCUGGGAGGAGGCUCCCAUCCCUCAGUCUCCAACUCCAUCGUGCAGUCUUGUUCACAUAACAUCUCCGCUCUCCAGCUCCACUUCCCACAGCAGGACAAACGAACCUUCAGCUCCUAGAGACCCGACUCUGACCUCCUUCUGAUCAGCAAUGGGGUUUCACCAUCCCCUCAACAAACCUGUCAGCCUCUGAAUGAUGAAUGUCAGAGUCACCAGAACCAGCAAAACUCCAACUGCAGCCAGUUGAGCCUUUGUGAACUUAGCCCCUCUGGAAACCAGGUCUGAACUCAUAGACUCAUAGACUUUAAGGUCAGAAGGGACCAUUAUGAUCAUCUAGUCUGACCUCCUGCACAAUACAGGCCACAAAAUCUCACCCUCCCACUCUUAUAAUAAACCCCUAACCUAUGUCUGAACUAUUGAAGUCCUCAAAUACUGGUUUCUAGACUUUAAAGUGCAGAGAUUCCUCCAGCAAUUGAACCGUGUCCUAUACUGCAGAGGAAGGUGAAAAACCCCCAGGGACUCUGCCAAUCUGCCCUGGAGGAUAAUUUCUUCCCGAGCCCAAAAAUGGCGAUCAGCUAAACCCUGAGUAUGGGGGCAAGACUCACCUCAACCCAAUAAAAGCAAGACUGGGCAGCGCAGGUUUGCAACAGGGAAAGGAGAGCGCUUUCCCCUGGGCUGCAGAGCCUGGGGCUUAGCCAAACUGAUUACAGAAUGAGUCCUACCUCAGAGGGACCAUGUAUUGGCCCCAAAAGAACUGGGCUAUGAACUGGAAUGAGAACUAGAUAGGAAGUUGAAAGCAGCAAGGAAAGCCUAGAAGGGAACUUGAGAAGAGAGGUAGGAUGUGCCCUGGGAAACCUACAGCAAAGAGAAAAGAGCAGCCCUAGCUGUUGAAUACAGAGCCCUGGGCUGCUACCAGUGUCAGGGUGGGACCAAGUUUCUCUACUGGCCUCAAAGAAGGGGACAUACACACACACCCAGAGAGGGUUACCAAGCCCAGCAAGGGAGCUGCAGGCUGAGCCAGAGCCCCAGCGAGAGCAGAACUUUUUUCUCUGGGAAGACCUCUUUGGACUUUCAGUGUGUGACAAGCUGAGCCCCAAAAGCAUGGACUAAAGGUGGUGAGCCGGCCAGAGGGCCGAAUUACCAGGCAGAGAGACUGCCAUGGUGCUGGAGUGACCAUCGAUGGAGGACCAGAGGGCACCUAACAAUGAGUAGAUUCACUGAUUAUUGGCAUAGUCAGCAGGAUUGAAUUCCCCCUGUCAUCCAUGAGGGCUCAUGGAAGUCUUGGUUCCUGAGGGAAGGUCCGUCCCCCGAAGUGGGAUUUCCCAUCUGAGUUCCAGGGACUGAUUAAGCAGGGCUCGGGUUUCUCCAGCAGCUCCUAGAAACCCAACAGAAGCAGAAGGAAGUUCAGGCAGAGCUACAGAUGCAGCUGGCAAUCUUGAGGGAGCAGCAGCAAUACCUGUGAGAGAUCCUGCAAAGGGAAAUCAACCUGCUACGCCCAUGGACAAAAAGAGCAGACUCAGCGAGCAUGCUGGGGCUGUGCUGAGAAGGUUAGCCCAGGAGAGCAGGGCAUGAGAAAGUAUACAAGCAUAGCCUAAUGCCAAAAUGGGAACAAAAGUUCUUCGGUUUGGGUGCAGAGAAGCAGGCCAUAUCGAAAGACCCGGCCUGCAUAGGAAAUUCCUGAGUGGCAAAAGGAGGGGCCAGGGCCCCAAGAAGGUAGAAAGAAAGGAGAAGGUGUCCUCCUGGACAGACACAUGUUAGGCAGGCCAGGUGGAGAUGGCAGGGAUGGCUGUGGACCUUGCAGACCCUCCUCCAACACACCUGUCGGGUGCUGCAGGGAGGUGAAGGAUGAAAUGGUUGGCACAGAGAGGAAUCAGUCACGAGAGUUGAGCAGUGGUGUGUGCUCAGACCUUGAUGGAAAAGGUUUUGGGGGAUGCAGCAGCAGUAAAAAAAAGGCUACAGAAGAAGCUAGUGGCUUCCGUACAAGGCUCUGCAAGCAGUUGUUAAUGAGAAUGCGUGGCUGCAGGAAGAGAAGGAUGGCCUCUGAGUUCUGGUGAGUACGAGGCUGUACGAGUGCACAGCCGGUGACAGCGACGAGAUGGUGAGGGAUGAAUACUGGACAAGAGUAGAACUUGCCCCGGGUUGGUCUGGAUUUUUAGGAGGAGGGUAUAUAACAGGGUGGCUUGGCCUGCAGCUGCAAAGCCUGGAGAUGACUAAGUGAGCCCCACCUGAGAGGAAACAAGGGAAAAAAGCAGCAAAAAUACAGAAGCAGCCCUAGCUGUUCAGUAUACGGCCUUGGGCCAAAACCUGGAGUCCAGGGCAGCACUGGGUUCUCCCACCGUCCCUAAGGAAGGGGAGAUAGAAGACCAUAGAAACCCAAGAAGGGCAGGCCAAGCCGAAAUCAAGUGGUGGAAGAGCUCCCCAUGAGGGUGGAAGGCCUUGUUUCUCUUCAAGACAUUUUUUGACUUUGUUUGGAAGGAGCGUGACCCAGGAAGGAGUGGACUAAAGGACAGUCAUCUGGUUGGAGGGCUGAGUUCCCAGCCAACAAACUGCAAGAGUGGCUAUCAAUGGGGUUGCUCGCCCAGCUAGAAAGCUGUGAGACGAGGCCUGGCCAGGAUCUAGCGGAGAUGUCUGGUGAACUGCCCGUGGACUCUGUGCCCAGCACCACUCUGAAAUUCUUUGCUACCUUUGAAGAAACAGGGCACAGCUCAGCCUGUUAGUCUCUGUCCCAGCCUCUCACACAGAUGAAUGCUGCAGCCAGCCCAGCUCAGAGAGCAGUGGGGAGAGAUGAUCUCAUCCUGUCAAACCAAGCAACGUGGGUCCCAUUGUGGCUUAGAUGGAAGAUCCCAUUCAUCUCCUGGAGAGGAUGUGUCCAGGAUCCUGGAGACUGUUUUCUGCAGGAGGUUUGAGCGGGGAGAGAUCACUCACUGUCAUGACCCCUUGGUCAUUAACCCAGGUCUGCAGGGUUCAUGGGAGCAGCCACACUCCAGCAGGCCACCUGGAAGCCUCCUAAAAACUGCUUACCUAGGACUUACGAAGUCCAGAACCAGUUGGAGGCUCUAUCCCUAAGGCCUUAUUGGCAGAGUCCCAGAGCAGCUAAUCGGCCCCUGGGACCUCCUUAAACCAACAGCAGGAACAAGAAGCUGUGUGAACACCCGAGCUCCCCUGUCUUCUGGACCAUGUGUUAGCUGUUCCUGCUCCCACUGCCCAGGCUUGAUUUCCUGGCAUCCUGACUCGCUGUGACUCAUCUGAUUUGAGGGUUUGGACACAAUUUGGUCUUUUUGGUCCCGACCCCAUUCCCCCCCCAGCCCUGACCCCCAGCUCCGAGCCCAGCCCCUCAGAGCUGGGCACUCCCCCAAACCCAU